rnacentral:rRNA from 1 species
AUGGCGGCCGAGCAAAAACGCCACAACAGUUCACAUGAUAUCACAGUAGACGGCCCCGCGCCGGAUGCUUGCCCUCCUGCCACCAAUCCAACAAAUGGAAACAGCCAGCCCCAUGAUACUCAGCCUCCUGCAAAUGGAAGCAGCCAACCCGAGGAGGUGAUCGAGAGCUACGAGCUCAUGCUCGACCUGAGCAAGUACAUCCUGCUGCUGGCAACGCUGGUGGCCACGGUGACAUAUGCCGCGGGGUUCAACCCACCGGGGGGCGUCUGGCAGGAGACUGUCGACGCCACGGGCCAAUUCGCAGGCGACUCCAUUAUCCGGACCACCAGCUACCACCGGUACCUGGUGUUCUACUACUGCAACGCCACCGCAUUUGCCUCGUCACUCGUGAUCAUCCUCGCCAUCCUCUUCCUCACCCUCAUGGAAGAGAAAAAGAAGAACCGCGUCACCCUCCUGCCACUGCGGGCGGUCAUGGUUGUGGACCUGCUAAGCGUCAUGGGAGCCUAUGCUGCCGGGACAUGCCGCGACAAGCCCACGACCAUCUUCUCCUCGGUGCUGGUGGUUGCCGUCGUUGCCUACCUUGCUCUUCAGAUGGUGCUAGCCUCGUUGCCAGAAGACAAGCACAGCUACAUCGACGCAGUGCAUGAGAAACGGCUACGAAAGGUCCUGAUGCUGCUCGCGACGUUCGCGGUGAGCGUGACAUACGUUGCCGGGAUGAGCACGCCAGGUGGCUUCUGGGACAACAGUGAGAACGGCCACAGCCCUGGCGACGCGAUCCUCAAGGACAGCCACGGCAAGCGCCUGACGGUGUUCUUGUUCUUCAAUGCCCUGGCGUUCGUGGCGUCCUUGCUCAUCAUUGUGGUGCUUCUGGACAGAAAACCUCGUGUGACUGAGGCAUACUGGUUCAUCGCCGUCGCGCUGAUCAGCCUCAUCGUCUCAUACACCGCAGGCAGCUGCAGGGAGACCGACACCAACUUCUAUGUGGGCAGCCUGGUUAUUGCCGUCCUGGCAUUCAUGGCAUUGCUCCAAGCUGCAGUUAUUCAAGGUACCAUAAAAGCUGCAAGCGAUACCAGGUUCUGGACCAAAAUCAAAAGCUUCCAUCGUUCGGUGUCAGGGAGCUUGUCAAGAGCAAUAACAAGAGCACCAGGUCUGGAGACUAAUGACAGCAGGGUCGCAGCGGAGCAUGCUCGUUCCCUUGUACUGUUACUAGCCACUCUUGCCGCAACCAUCACUUACCAAGCAGGGCUGGAUCCUCCCGGUGGCUUCUGGCCGGGUAAUCGGGACGGCCACAUGGCUGGUGACCCGAUCCUCCUCACCGUGAACGCUAAGAGGUACAAGGCCUUCUUCUACUGCAACUCUGUCGCCUUCGUAGCCUCCUUGGUGGCCAUCAUCCUGGUCCAAAGCAAGGUUAUGCUCCAGACACACGUGCUCGAGGCAGCCAUGAUACUGGACUUGUUUGGCAUCAUCGGAGCAUAUGCUGCGGGAAGCUCUCGGGACUUGACCACCUCCAUUUAUGCCAUGGCCUUGGCUGGCGCCGUCCUGGUCUAUGUAGUGAUCCAUGUUGUCUUCUUCACACUGAACCAUGCCACCAACCCCACCAAAGAAGAAAUUAAGUCCGUGGAGAAGAGGCGCAAGCGGUUGCUCCUUUUCGCAGUCUUGGCCGCGACCAUCACUUAUCAAGCUGGGUUGACCCCUCCUGGCGGUUUCCGGCUCCAAGAUGAUAGCAGGCACCACGCUGGGGAUCCGGUCCUCCUAUACAACUUUCCCCGGCGUUACACAGCCUUCUUCUACUGCAACACGGUGAGCUUCAUGCUGUCCAUCGCACUGAUCAUACUGCUCGUGAACCCACAUCUAUACAGGCCUGCGAUACGAAGCUAUGCACUCGCUGUUUGCACAGGGGCGGGCAUGUUUGGUCUGAUGGGAGCAUAUGCUGCCGGAAGCACGCAACAUCUGAAAACAUCCAUCUACAUUUUCGUCUUGGUGGUUGUGGUCCUCGUCGUUAUAGCUUUACUGCUCCUGGUAUUCUUGUUGAAGGAAAGGAACAACAUACCUGAAGACACGGCCGGUGAACUGGAGCCCAUUGAGGUAAGCAGUUGUACACCAGGAAAGGAAAAACAUGUCAUGCGCAAAUAUCUGAUGCUGCUAGGAAUCUUGGUGGCAAGCGUCACCUACCAGGCCGGCCUAGAUCCACCAGGCGGAGCUUGGCAGCACAGUGGGAAUGGAUACGACGCGGGCAACCCAAUCAUGCAUGACAACCAGAGGCACCGUUACCUCGCCUUCUUCUACAGCAACUCCACGUCCUUCGUGUCGUCCAUUGUUGUUAUCAUCAUUUUGCUACUGGAGUGGAAGGACGAGAAGAAAUGGUCGCUCAAGGUCAUGAACACGACGAUUGUGCUGGAUUUGCUCGCUCUCCUAGUGGCCUACGCAGCAGGCUCCAGCAGGGGGUGGAAGACGUCUAUGUAUGUCGUUGCACUAGUGACCGCCGUGCUGGUAUAUGUUGCAAUCCAUAUAGUGCUGGCAAUCUCAUGUUGUCAUAGCCCGCAGGAAGAGGAGAGCAGUGUGGAUCCUGCAUAG